GUGGGGAAUCUUGCGCAAUGGGCGAAAGCCUGACGCAGCCAUGCCGCGUGGAUGAUGAAGGUCUUAGGAUUGUAAAAUCCUUUCACCGGUGAAGAUAAUGACUGUAGCCGGAGAAGAAGCCCCGGCUAACUUCGUGCCAGCAGCCGCGGUAAUACGAAGGGGGCUAGCGUUGCUCGGAAUUACUGGGCGUAAAGGGAGCGUAGGCGGACAUUUAAGUCAGGGGUGAAAUCCCGAGGCUCAACCUCGGAACUGCCUUUGAUACUGGGUGUCUUGCGUGUGAGAGAGGUGAGUGGAACUCCGAGUGUAGAGGUGAAAUUCGUAGAUAUUCGGAAGAACACCAGUGGCGAAGGCGAGUCACUGGCCCGUUACUGACGCUGAGGCGCGAAAGCGUGGGGAGCAAACAGGAUUAGAUACCCCAGUAGUCC
rnacentral:rRNA from 1 species